ACCACCGCCACGACUGCAAACGCUUACACACGCAUACAGAGACAAGCAUAGGCACAGCGUCACCCGUGCGCCGAGGAGUUUCGCUGCCCCUUUACGCGCCACCGAGCCAUCGCCACACACACACACGCAUACACUCUCACUCUUUCCCUCCCCUUCUCCUCUGCUUACGGUCUCUAUUCGGCUAGCGGUUCUUGUUGUCGUGCAUCAUGGAAGGUCGUCUUGUUAUUUUGCCACGGGAUGGCAUGCACAAAACAUCCAUGUUUCUCGUUGGCACUGCACAUCGCUGCAUUCUCGCUGUCGGGUCCCAGUCAGAGGGGCUGCUCGCCACCCCGUAUGUGCAGGAGAUGGCGGACGCCUUGAAGGGGGAGUGGACCAUUGCUCACGUGGUGCUGGGCAGCAGCCAUGUCGGGCGAUCUGCCCCCAGCCACGAGGCAGACGCGGACGACGUGGAUGCCGCGCUGGCGCUCCUGGUGAAGGAGCACAGCAUGAACGACGUGGUCCUCUAUGCUAGUGGAACUGGCGUGCAGGUUGCACUGGAGGCGCUGGCGUCGGCUGCUCAUGCGGAAGUGGUGACGCGCGUCAUCCUGCAAGGAGGCAUCGUGUCGCCGCAGCGCAGCAAGCUCUUUUCUGUAGAAGCAACCAAACGCCGUCUCGAAAUGGCACGUGCGCUCAUUGCAGAGAAGCGCGGGGACGAUACAACGGCGAUGGCGAAGGUGUACGAUAUGGCAGUGACGCCAGCGCGCCUCUCUCGGAAUGCGACGCUGACGGUGCAGGAGGCGCUAUGGCAACCGGUGUUGGGGGAGUCUGAGUCUACCUGUAAGCAGACACUGCGCGGGGUGACGGUGCCAACGCUGUUUCUCCUAUCCACAGAGGCGUCGUACACGGCGGCGGCGAAGGACGCCGUGCCGGCGGUGCAGCGCGCCGCGAGGGAUGCGAUUGGCCUGCCCACCGAGGAUGUCCAGGUCACGCUACUUCCCACCACGAUCGACGAGCAUCGAUGCGCGCUCAACGGAAACGGUGCGCUGGCGGUCAAGGCCGUCAGUGACUUUCUUCAUGGGGCCGACGCGCGCCGUGCACAGUUCGAGCCAGGCACCACGGUCGUGGCUCUCGAGGCAAAGCGAAAGAAAGAAGUCACUCUUGUCAACGGUGUCUGCGCGUGAAACUGGAGCACGCAUGUCGAAUGCAAAAUGGGAGAGAGCAUGCGGCUCGUAAAAGCAAAGGAGAAAGAUCCCGCUCUUGUCUGAGGUCCUUGCUUUGCGAGCCUGCGGCUGUAGAAGGUGAAAUGCAGCUCUGCCCCAUCCUCCCCCUGCCUCGCCGUCGUCCGAUCGUUCCGCCGACCAAAGCGUGCACACGCGCUGUCCGGCGCUGCUGGCACGGCGCACCACACCCACAGCCAAAGCACCCCGAGGUCGAAAGGGCAAGAGAGAUACAUGGAAAAGGCGCGCAGGGAUCUAUAGCAAUCAUUUUGAAAGUGGUCGUGCGCGAAGCGCACGGCACCUCCGACGUCCCGGGCGGGUGGGCUGGCGAGGCCCGGGUGCCGGCAGCAUGGCGAGAGCAGCCCGAAUCAACGCAGCGAGUCCUCCAGACGCCCAUGUGGAGUGUCGCCACACGGUGGCACGGGAGUGCGCGGCGCGAGGCAACGGGGUGCGAAGGAUGGCCCGCAGGCAGCGGUGCGCAGGGUCUCGGAGGGCCCUGACCUGAGAGGCUGGCCGACGUUGUCCGUGAGCUCACCCGGUGCGCGCGUAGCUGACGCCUCGCCUGUUGGCCGGCGCGACGGGCGCCACGGCUUCCGCUCUCGAGCGGGGGACCCUUGGCGGCGGCGUGCUUUGGGUGAAGGCGUGCAGGCCACCCGCGUCUGCGUCUGGCGCGGAUCGGGCAGCACGCCGCCGGCGGAGGGACCGAGAGGGGCAGGACGGGGAGAGCUGGUUAGACGCGUGGCCUGAUUCGAUGACAGGGGCUGGGCGGGCGCGUCCCAGAGGGCCUGGAUGUCGCGGUGGUGCGGCAGCGGUGGUGGAGCUGUGGCUGGGUGUGCGUAUAUUCUGUUGCCCUGUACUUGGUCGAAUAUGGACACGUCGGGAAAAAGAAAACGUGGCAAAAGCGCCUGCUCUGCAACUAUUCGUUCUGAUGUUGCUGUCGUGAUUUCUUCUCCGCUUACCGCCCACCCUUUCGGGCGCGGGCCUCUCUCGAGUCGUGUCCUGUAGCGGUUGCUCCGCGGUUUCUCUCUGUGUGGCGCUCCCGCACUUCGUGGAAGACGCCUCCCGCCUCUCCCCUUCCCUCCCCACGCACGCCAUUUCGUUUCUUUUUUUUUAUGUACAAGGUAAUACUAGAACGACUGCACCUUGUGGGCGUCGCGCUCUUUUUCGUUUCCUUUGUUUUUAUUCUCGCUUGUUUGAUUUGGAUUCCCCGUGCCGUUAGGACUCGAGAGGAAGACCGGACUUCCAGGCGUGCACCUCGGAGGUGCAAUGCCGUGUCUUCUCCUCUUCUAUCCCUUCCGAAGCUGCCUCACACUACGCAGGCAUACAUACACGGACGCGCAGACACAGACAGUGCGCACGGUUGCCUCGACGGCAACACCCACAACAGUGCUGCCUUGUAUAUAUGACCCACUCGGCUGUCUUUUUGUUUUGCGAAGUGCCGCUGCCCUGUAUGUAUGCCCGCUGAUGUAGCUGUGCAACCAUGGCGGUGAGGGAGAAGGAUUUGAGUUUUUUUCGGUCUCCUUUCUCUCAGCCGAUGUGAAGUAACCCGAUGUUGUUCCUCCUUUCCUUGUAGCCUUCGCAAACUAUCAGCAACAACGAAAGAAAAAGGCGAAACGCUAUACACAGAUAAAAGAGCAACAAGCUCACUGGGGCGUCUCUCUCACCAACAACGACAUCUCCACAGGAGUGCAGGUGGCAUGCACCUGUACGAGCGCGGUCCUUUGUGGUGCUGCUGCGCGCUCGCAUACAUAUUUCGGUCUCCUCCAGUUUUCCCCGCUGGGCAUUCGGGUGGUGGUGGUGGUGG
rnacentral:misc_RNA from 1 species